rnacentral:lncRNA from 13 species
GGAAAUUGUUCUUUGGCAUCAACUUCAUUAAAAGAAUCCCAAAAGGUAAUUUAUACAUACAUAUCCAGCAUCAGAUUUUGAUAUCUUAUUUUAGGUAUUGAAUAUGAAAUCACUGUAGCAAGUUUGCAACAUUAGAACUAUCUACAUAGACGACUGGUAAUUUUGUUAAGGGACUUGCGCAGGUUGUUCUUCAGGUUGUUCUCCUUGGUUUCUCAAAUGAUUGACUCGCCUGGUUCACCAACUACUUCUCUGAUAGAGUUCAGUGUGUCAAAUCGGAGGACCUGUUGUCCGGACCUCUGGUAGUCUCUAUGGGGGUGCCACAAGGUUCAAUUCUCUGUCCGACUCUUUUCUCUGUAUACAUCAAUGAUGUCGCUCUUGCUGCUGGUGAUUCUCUGAUCCACUUCUACACAGACGAUACCAUUCUGUAUACGUCUAGCCCUUCUUUGGACACUGUGUUAAACUAACCUCCAGACGAGCUUCAAUGCCAUACAACACUCCUUCCGUGGCCUCCAACUGCUCUUAAAUGCAAGUAAAACUAAAUGCAUGCUCUUCAACCGAUCGCUGCCCGCACCUGCCCGCCCGUCCAACAUCACUACUCUGGACGGUUCUGACUUAGAAUAUGUGGACAUCUACAAAUACCUAGGUGUCUGGUUAGACUGUAAACUCUCCUUCCAGACCCACAUUAAGCUUCUCCAAUACAAAAUUAAAUCUAGAAUCGGCUUCCUAUUUCGCAACAAAGCAUCCUUCACUCAUGCUGCCAUACAUACCCUCGUAAAACUGACUAUCGUACCGAUCCUUGACUUCGGGGAUGUCAUUUGUGCUAGCAACACCUCUCCCUCAGCUGCUCUCCUAGACGGUUAUUUUCCAUGACUUUCAGCAUAAGUUAUAUUCUUCAAAAAUCAAUAGGUACACUGAUUCAUGCUUGUUACCAUUUAAGUUCCAAAAUACCGGGUUGCCAGAUCGGAGACCUAACCUGCCCUCCUCCGUCUCUCUACAGCGCCAACCUGAUCAAAGUGGUUCUGAGUGAGCACAGUUUCUCCAGGGUGGGGGGCUUUGGGACGGAAUUUAACGUUUCCAAGGUGCUGCUCCACUACAUGUACAAUUACAUGACCUGCAACAACGACAUCAUGCUGAUCAAAUGUGGACACGUCCCCGUUGCAGCAGGGAACAACCUGUAUGGUGAGCGACUGGGGGGGUCACUAACAUCUUCAGCUACAACCUGUCCCUGUGACCCAAACCGUGGACGUCAUCACCUACUCUCAUAUGUACAUACUGUAUUCUAUUCUAUACUUCUUAGUCUAUGCCGCUCUAAAUUGCUCAAAUAUAUAUUUAUAUAUUCUUAUGAAUUUACCACAGGUGGAAUCCAAUCAAGUUGUAGAGACAUCUCAAGGAUGAUCAAUGGAAACAGGAUGCACCUGAGCUCAAUUUCGAUUUACUUAUUCUCUAUUUCUUAA